GUCUAAUAUGUACCAACUGCUUUCAUUUUGGGGUGAAUACUGCAAAAGUAAAGUGAAAUAAGGGACUGAGCUGAACUGCCAGCACGUGCUUACCGUGUUCCUUCCUUUAUGACUGGCUGCUGUUCACUGCUGACCGACACCUGCCGAACCACAGCGCCUUCUUCUCACGGGAGAGUCUUCUGAUGUCUGCAUUUGAAUGACUUUUGCUGCUGCUGAAGAUACAAAAUUCUGUGCUGUACAUUACUCGUGAAGUGUGAAGUGUGAGGUGUGAAGUGUGAGGCUCGAGCGAGCAAUGGCAGCCCCAUUGGAGUAAACCUUCAGUGUCCCAAGGGAGCGGCUCCGAGGGCGAGGGCUCCCUCAGCGUGGAAGCUCUGGCACGUGUCUGAAGAUGAGUCACCGCAGCUCGUCCCCACACUGCUCCGUGGAAUAGCCAGCAUGCUGCAGCGUUAUUAUUCAUAACAGCCCAGUGUGGAAAUAAUCAAGUGUCCAUCAAGUAGCCCGUGGAUAAACAAAAUGUGGCAUAGCUAUACAAUGAAAUCUUAUUAAGCCAUAAAAAGGAAUGAAAUUCUGACACAUGCUACAACAUGGAGGAACCUUGAAAGCAUUAUGGAUGAUUCCGGGGACUGGCCAGAAGCUUGGAAAAGCAGGAAGGUGUUCAGUGUUCUCCACAGCGGGCUGAAGAGGCCGGAGUUGUCAGGCAAGAGACUGACUUGUCUGCUUGUACUUGAAAUGGAUUCGAAGAAACACAUGCAUUUGUCGAGGGGAAAACGCUUUCAAGGAGAGACCAUUUGAUGCUAAAAGGACCAUUUGAUGCUCUUUUAACCCUCUUGGUUUUAUUCAACUCCUUUCAUUACUUUCUGUUCCUGGCACCUUACCGAAGGAAGAAUAUGCCAAGAGUUUGAAUGAUGAAAGAGUAUUCUAUAUUUUUAGCUAUAUUUGCAUUUUACAAGUUUAUUUGAAAGAUAGUUUUGUGCAGUUAAUCUUUUUUUCUGUUUAAAUUAUUUUGAAAAUCUUAAAAAUAUCAUUUUUAGCCUUUUAAAUAAAUAUCAAAAUGCCCAUUACAAAAGGCUUCUUCAAUUCCAUGUAAGAAUUUAACUGUAAUAUGAACCAGGCUUAGAUGACGUCUAUAAAUUAGCCCAAGAAAAUUCCUGUAAUUCCUGGCUAUGAGGUUGUUUCUGAGGGGUGGUGGAUUUCUGGUCAUCCCAUAUUUCCUCAAUGCCUCCUACUUCAAGAGUAGAAAAUAUCGAUAGCGUCGCUGCUCAUGGGCAAAGGCCCAGUUGUCCUUCAGGAUGAUCUCAGUUCUGAUGAAUAUUUGGGUCUAUGAAAAGAAAAUUAUAGAAUAUUAAAA
rnacentral:lncRNA from 1 species